GGAGGAGUGGGAGUUUGCUCGGGGGCUGCUUUACAGCUGCGCUAAGAGCGGCUCGGAGCGGUUCUGUGCUGGGCACUGCGGUGCAUACACCGACCUUCCAUUCCUCCAAGCGUGGCUGCUUCAUCCGAAUCAUGGAGCCACCGCUCAUCAGCGGAUUAAUGACUAUUUCCAGCAAACAAUGCUUUGAAAAGACGCUCCUAAAGGCAAAGCAAAGAUUGGCAGAAACGCUCACAGCAGCUUAGCACGGAGCUGCCUCAAUGUCUGCCCAAUGCCCAGCCUGGCUCAGCAGUGAGCUCUGGGCAGGGUUUGAGCACGGAGCUGUGGGUGCCUGGAUGAGCUGUGAGGCACAACAUGAGCAAAGCCAUAGCAAAGAGCACUGCGAGCAGAGGAGUACAUUGGACUGAGAGUACCCACCUCUGCCGGGAUCCACACAACUUCAUCUCUCCAAGCAGCACAGCCCCCAGUGUUGGACGGAUGGCCCCAAAACCUCUGAGGUGGUGGCACAGAUCCAUCAGCAUGUGGAACACAGGACCGCAGCGUGGGCUGGCAGCGCCAGGAUUGCACUCCGUGAGCAGCAGUGAUUAUUUCGGAUUUCUGCUAUAAAUAGCUGGGGCUCUGUGUGCCUUUCAGCCUUGGCUUUGGGGAGAGGUGAGGACUACAGAGGGAAAUCCCAGCAGCGGGACUGGCCCUGAUCUGCUGUGAAGAUUACAGACUUCAAAUACGCUGUAAAAGGAACCCGUAUACAACCCUUCAAAAUCACUUAAGUGGGCCAAUGACAGAAGUACCAGCCCUGCAAGUACAUACAGAACACUGCGGAAAUCAUCCCCCGUGUUUAUUUAUGAGCCACUUUUAAUUACUCAGCGGGAAUGAAUGAAAGAGGUGGAAAAUGGGAAGCGACAGAGGGCUUUGCAUUGAGUUACAGCUCGUGGAGAGCAAAGGGAGAGAUCACGGCGCUUUCAAGUCGCGAUGGUCGGAGGGUAUAAUUACACCCUGCUGCUUUAUGGGCCAAACCUCAGAGAAUUCAAUGGCAAACUGUGUUUCAGAGAGCGUGAGGAGCCCUCAGAAGGCUUCACACAGCACUGAGGAAGAGCAGAAUGCUUCACAUAGGCAGCAGCAGGCAUGGCAGAGCCCUGGGCUCAGCAAGGUCACCUGUCUGAAGGGGAGCUGCACGGACAGCAGUGCGAGUUCUGCUUGGCACGUCUGCAGGGAGCAGAUAUGGAGAAGGAGAAGUGCUGCGAUGCCACGUGGUUAGCUGAAAAGUGUUUUCUCUGCAGCUCCCACAGGAAAGGCCCAUGACUGAGAAAGAACAUGGUGUUCGUUCAUUGGGACAAGCUGAUCUUCAAGCUGAUUUGUGUUAAUUUGGAAAGUGAGAUCUUUUUUUUGUUGUUGUUGUUCCCCCUUUCUUUUUCCAGGAAAAAUGGAGCUGUCUGGUUUUGAUCACUUGGUGUGCUCAGCACCAAAGCCCUCAGAGUAAAUAUCUCCUAUGAAGGACAUUAAGGACCAACUCAUGGGGAGCAGCAGCAGGAAAACACUGCCAUAAACCCAAUACACAUCACGGUGCAUUCGUUUGUUACUUGGCACUGUAGCCGGGGCAGGGAAAACAUAGGAAGGCAUGGAGCAGAAUGGUGCCUCGGGGUGAUGAGUACAGCUGGGGCAGUGUGAUUAGCCCCAAGUGGCAGAGUCCUCCAUGCGCCCUGCAAGGCAGCUGAUGGCUCUGUGCUCCCUUUCCUGCUGGCUAUGGGAGGAAGGAGGGGAUGACCGGGCACGGUGCAAGCCAGCCUUGCUUUCCAUUCGAAUCCUAGAACCGUAGCCAAAGAAAACAAAGAAAUAGAAAAAGAAAGACGACGCACGGCAGCGUGCUGCUGCUGGAGGAAGGCCGAUAAGGCGGCAGCUGCUGCUCUUCCUCUGGGCUGCCCAGCAGAAAGCUGAAGGCAGCGCCGCCCGGCUCCUCACCCCAGCGCCGGGGAACGGCUUUAAGGAGCCGUGAUGCUCAGCGGGCUGAUAGGCAGAGCGGACGGCAGACCUUCCAGCUUCCUUCUGCCUUCCGAGCACACUCUGCCCAUUGGGCCCCGCUGUAGUGUCACCUCGGGGAUCUCUGUGGUGUUAAAGCGAACUUCUGCACAAGAGCGAGCAACUCCCGUUUGCACCCCCGCCGGUAUUUCUUCCCCAGAAGUGAACUUGCUGCUCUUCGCCGCGAGAUGGAGCCUUCAGAUCGAGCCCUUUCCCUUAGGGUUGGUGGUUGUCUAAAGCAAUUAAGCCUCAUUUAGAGAUCGCACGUGUUUAGUUUUCUCAGAUUACUAUCUGUGGGUCUUUAUUAUUUUUUUUUGUUAAUGAAUCAUAUUUUUCAUCAUCUCUCUCUCUUUUAUCUGAUACGAGGAAACUGCAAAGGCUGCCAGAAUGGGUGCUGCUCCAGCCCAGCUCUGCAGAGGAGGACAGUGAACAAUGCAGCUCUUCUUCCUGGAGAAGCAUCACUCACAGCAUCACAGAAUGGUUGGGUUGGAAGGAACCUCAAGGACCACGAAGCUCCAACACUCCUGCUGCAGGCAGGGCCACCAACCUCCACACUCCAUACCAGCCCAGGCUGCCCAGGGCCCCAUCCAACCUGGCCUUGAACACCUGCAGGGAUGGAUGGGGCAUCCACAGCCCCUCUGGCAGCUGUUCCAGCACCUCACCACUCUCAUAGUAAAGAACUUCCCCUCUGACAUCCAACCUAAAUCUUCCCUCCUUCAACGUUAAACCGUUUCCCCUUGUCCUGCUCGAUGCAUUGCUCGAUGCCACACCACAGGGACAAAGCAGCUGCAGAAAGUGUGUGUUGUGCAAAAGCUGGGGCACGAGUGGGGGCUAAAAGGGACACCUGGAUGGCAGCAUGCUGUCCUUCUCUCUGUUCACCUUCUAGCUCAAUUCUACUUCUGAAAUCUGCCCCCAUUCCAUAUCCUACUGUUCUUCCUGAAGGGCAACGGAAAAGGAUGGCUCUGCUCUUUGGCACCAGCAGAGCUGCUCCUGCCCUGCCUGCUGUGCACCCAUCUGCCACGCUCCUCCCCGGCCUCUGCCCACAGCCACGUCCCCAAAUACCCCGAGAUCUCACUUCCCUUUGGUUUCACUGCCUUUCAGCCCCGAGGGACCAAAUGUUUUGUUUUGCUCUGUGCGUUUCCACGUUCAUCUUUCAUCUUCUGUUUGAAGCUAUUGUGAAGAAGCUGCGAAAAGCAAUGUGGCCCUGGUGCUCCUCUGAUGGCACUCGGGCUCUGGAGAGGUGUCUGAAAGCUGACAGCAGAGCUCUGUGCUGCUGGGAGGAACCAACUUCUGCGUUUGGGCACCCCACUCUGUGGGGAUUGGGGCCAGGACGGGUUGGAGCAGAACCCCAAAGUCUGAAUGCAAUUCAGUGUUUGCCAGAAGGCAGGGACUGAUAAGGCCUGCUGGGCUCUCAGUGCACCUCUUUAGGCACAUAGUGACAAGGAAAAGGUUCAGCUCAGCGAGGAGCAGGCAGUGGCCACUGCUCUGCUGCCUCUGCCCUGUGUGGGCAGCCCUGCCCCGUGAAGCCCUUCCCUUCCCAGACUUAAAACCAACGCCCUCCUGAGUGCCUUCCUGUACCAGCUCCUUUCUGCUCUCUCUCUCUCUCUAUUUUCUGGGGUCACAGCAAAGAGCAGCACUGGGGCAGCACCCAUGGGACCAUAAUGUGUUUGUAGCACACGGACAGACACACGCAGAGCAUUGCUGCUGAGUUCACUGCAGGUCCUCUGGUGCUGCUGUCAAACCUUCAUUUUCAGGUGUUGGAAAUCAUUUGUUUCCCUUCAUCUGUUUUCUGUCCGCAGAUGGUGCUUCCUCUGUAGGUGAUGGACUCGAGGUGACAGUGAUGGCUCAGUGCUUCCUCAUAUAAGCAGAGCUCCAGAACCACCCUCAGCACAGUGCUGCGCAAUGGCUGCAAUGCUUCGCAGAGGAUCAGUGUGUGUAUGUAAAUGGCAGAAUGUUCUCAAGCAGCACUGGAUUUUGCAUUUUAGCAAGGAUUUCCUUCCCAACUCCUCCUUCCUCAGUGCUGCUCAGUACCUCUUUCCCACUCCUGCCCCUUGUUCUUCCCUGCCCAGCUCUUUGCCCUGCAUGGCACGUUCCAGCCCCUCCUUUCUUGCUGAUCUCUGUGAUUAAAAGGUGGUGAGCAACACGGUUAUGAAAGCAAUGAUCUGUGCUGUAUCUUCAGAGGAAUGUCCACCUGCACUGUCUGCAGGAUGGAAACCAGCAGGGAGGCUGCUCCUUACCCUUCUGGCGCAAUGAUUGAACAGAUACUGCCCUCAGUUAAUAACAAUUCCCAAUAACUCUUGAAAUGAAGCAGACACAGCUCUGCUAAUUAAGGUGAAAAAGCAGCUCAUCCAAAUAACUUUCCUCAGAAAGCACGUCCAAUGACACUUCUAUCUGUUACGCUGUGUGUAGUUAUUAUCCCCAGUAGGUUAUACAGGAUGCAAGUGGGAGAAUUUCUGAUGCUCUCAUUAAUUUUGGUGGCAACUUUCUGUACUGGGAAUCAUCAUUCACCUCCACCCAUUGGAAGCAGUUGAAUUUCAGGAAGGUGGCAGUGCACACAUGGCACAGGGUUAAAUUUGGGUUAAAGACAGCAUCAUCUCCAGGCCUCUGGCAAAUGAGGCGGAGUAAGCAGGACACAGCAGGGGAGAUCAGGUCCUUCACAAAUGGGAAUAUUCACUUGGGAAGAAGUAGGAGAAAAUAACCUAGAAAUAAGGUCACUGGUCUCCAGACAGCCCCAUGGGAAAGCCAAGUAGUGCUGAGAGUAAUUUUCCUGCUUAGUGUGGCAGGCGUGUGGGCACACAUCAUAGGGAAGUGAGAGCAAUACAGGCUUUGGACAAUACUAGAAACCCCAAGAGACCACGAAGAGCCCUUAACCCUUUGGGUAAACGGUCCCAUGUGAACACCCAGCACAUUAACUUAUUGUUGCACGAGGCUGGGAAAUGGUUUGGAUCUUAGUUUAUGUGAGCAUUACCAAAGAAUAAAACAUUGCAACAUAUCUGUCAGGAACUGUAUUUCUCUGUGCUACAAUCCUUGAAGAAGAGGAAGUAAACACACUGCUGGCUCUGCACGACUCUUCCUGUAGGGCAACUGCAUUGUCAUCCCCAGGAAAUGCAACACCAAGCCCUGAAAUGAUCUGCACUGUAAAGGGCUGCUACAAUUCUGAGAGCUGUUAAAUUGCAGAGGAACAGAGCUGUGUUUGAUUGGGCAGAACGGUCAGGUUCCUGGGAACCCUUCAUCCUCAGCUGUAUGGUGGAAGAAGAGUGGGGAGUCAGAAACAGGGCAUGGGGAACGUGGCCUCCUCCAUAUCACUGCAGCCGGGUGAGAUGAGGUUAUGGAGGAAAAGGCCAUGGUGUCACGGAGCAGAGCCACAGUUCCCCCCUGUCCCAAAGCUGUUCCCACCACUCCCCAGGGCUCUGCCUGAGCUUGAAUCUCAACACUGGUUGGGGUGUGAAUGUCCCAGUCAGACCAUAGGGAACUGUGGCUUUGUCGGUUUGUAGGUUUGGGUCUGUUGGUUGGUUUGGGUUUAUUUGUGGUGGCGUUGUCACUGUUUUGCAUUACUGAGUGCAUGAACCAGAAACUCAGAGUGUUUUACUCAGUCACCUGGGGAUUACAGCAGAUUCCAGGCUGACCAUGAGCCAAUAGCAUGCUUUUGUCUCAGACAGAGAAAACCACACGUUGGCUUACAGUAGGAUGAGGGAAACCAUUACCGCCUUCUACUCUGUGAGGCCUUUCAUUCAGCUUUGCUGCAGCUGCUGCUGGGCCAAGGACAUCAAGACACCACGUGUGGGGCCAGGAAGAAGAAAUGUGUGCAAUGGACACCUACUGUGGCUUGGGAAACCCAACUGAACAUUAGGAAUAUAAAGAUCAGUAGGGAGGUUUGGCGGUGGGUUGAGUAGUAUGGUUAGGUGGAGGUUGCAUGGUCUUGAAGGUCUCUUCCAACCUGAGCAAUUUGAUGAUCCGAUGAUAAGGCGGUGUAGUACUGGAACAGGUCACUGAGGCCAGUUGGAGACUCCCCAUCCUUAGGGAUUUUCAAGACUCAGCUGCACAAAACCCCACUGAACACUGAUGGAAGCUCUUCCUUGGGUGGGAGGUUGGACGAGACGCCCAACAGAAUUCCUCUCCACCAAACAUUUCCAUAUUUCUAUGACCUUAAAUUCAGGCAAAUGCACGUGCCCUUAGCACAAGUGUGUAAGAUUUCGAUGUAUUUCUAACUGCUUUCAGAUCCAGGGAGUUUCACACGAAAGUGCAACAGAAAAAAGUGUGCAGCUUUAAAGCAUUUCUUAAUCCCACCCCUUUAGAAUCUGAGUGCUGUUUACUCUGCUGUCUGCUGGAGAUCCAACACGUUCAAAAAUAGCAUGGCAUGGGGUCCCAUCAAAGCCUUCUAACAUCACCAGGUGUCUCCUCAGCAUGAAAACAAAUUCUUUGAAGAGAUUGCUUGGAAGAGGAAAAUAAAGUACCGCAAGUGAGCUCCUGUGCUGUGAUGUGGUAUCGGAUGUACAGAAAACAUCUGCAGUAAAACUCGUCUGCAAAAGUGAGGCAGGCAGAUUUCCCCUCUGUGUACAUGAAGAGCCACCUUUUCUGAAUUAAUAAUAAUAAAAACAAGGAUAAUUGUAUUGGGAUCUGUUUGGACACCAUAAUAUUUGGUACGAGCAUCAAGCUUAG
ensembl:lncRNA